AGGAGGUGUUCCCUGGGCUUUCUAACAGGCAAGGCUCUGUAUACAAUAACAGGAAUGAAGUUACAAGGAUUAGAAUUAGCGCACGUCCCAGUCGGAAAGUGUGGCUGGCUGGCAGUUGCCUGGGAUGUGGACAGAUGAGCAGCAAAUACCUCACCAGGAUCAAGGAAAACUUCUACGAAACAUUCAGAAGAGUAAAGUUAUUCAGUCUUCAAAAAGAGAAGGAUUCUGACACGUGCUACGGUGCAGAGGAGCCUCGGAAAUAUCAUGCCAAGUGAAAUCAGUGAGACACAAAGGACCGCUACUGGAGAAUUCCACUUUAUAUAAGAAGUACCGCAUCUCAGCAAAUUCUGAGUGGCACAAGGUAUAAUAGGAUCUGGGGACAAGGGGAAUAAGGAAUUAUUGUUUCAUAUGUAUAGAUUUCCUGAUUGGGAAGAUGAAAAAAUUCUGGAGAUGGACAGUGGUGAUGGUUGUAUGUUAAAAUAUACUUAAUGAAUUGUAU
rnacentral:lncRNA from 1 species